GUUACGACUCAUACCUUUUUCUUCACUAAAAAGGGCUCAGCAUCAAACUCGCUUUAAAUUUUUUCUACAAUCUCAUUGCUCCCACUCCUAUUCAAUUUGGGCGAAUUCACUCCUUGAUCAUCAGUAGAUCUUUCAGAUAAAAUGAUCAAGUGGCGGAAUUCUCUGCCUCUCUCUCUGUUUCCAUGAAGAUAGAUGUUGAAGCUGUCGAGGCAGCUCCUCCGCUCCUCAAGAAAGUUAGUUUAUGUAGGAACUUUUUGUUGGCUCUCACUUGCUAUUGGCAUCGUGGAACUCCUCAUCUACAUCAAGUUUGGACACAGUGACUUCGAACCAUACUUGCUUCAGGAUCAGGUGUAUUUACUUCCUUUCUUUUGAAUUUGUACUUAUUACCUUCAUUUAUUCCGGAGAUGAUUGUAUGGUUCCACCAAUGUUUAUUUGAUCAUCGUUAUACUCAGUGAUAUUCUUGACUUACCUAUGUAAUAUCUAAUCUUUAUUGGUUCCAUGUAGCUCUGAUUUUUGUAUGUAGAUCUAAUUGUUUUUUACUGAAAUUUGUCAGAGCAUCCCAAGGCUGUAUUAGUGUUUCUGAAUGACGGGAAGUUUUUUGUUUGCAAUUCUAAUAGAGGAAUUUUUUAUUGAUUCAACUGUGAAUUGAUUCCAUUUAUUUUUUGUUUAGAAUUUCUUGAUUUGAUUGGGAAUUUGAACUAAUAUGUUGAAUUUGGUUUCAAGCAGAUUGAUCCAUGGCACCAUUAUGGCACAAUCUCCAUUUCCAAUGUUAAAUGGUUGAUUUACAAAGCAAAUUGUUACAUUUAUAAGUCAAACGUUAGAAAUGAUUGCUGUAAAGGAGUACCAGGUUCAGUUUAUAUGUGUAUACAUGGUGGAUAAUGAUUGUUCUCCUAUCAGGAUAUGAGCCAGCAAACUGAGUACAUGGGUUGAUUGCUAAGGAUCUACAUGGAAAUGAACGACAAUCAAGCAUAUAUAUGGAGGUCAGAUACUGUGUUUGUUUUCUAAUUAUGGUUUAAUCAUGGGGUCAUUGGUGAUGUGGAUGUCGGGGAGAUACUCUGUUUUUUUCUAAUGUAGUACUGUAUUAGUUUUGUAUGGCAAUUCAAAAUCUUGUGUCACCUUAACUACUGAGAAUCAUGAUGUUUGUUUCAGAAACAAGAAAAAGAAUGGUAAAGUUGCACCGCCUGAUAAAGUUACUGUUUUUUGACGUGGUGUUGAGGGAAUUUACUUUCCAAGUCUUCAUUUGUAAAUAUUGCUUACUUUUCUAGUUUCAUUUAAUCUGGGCACUUUACAUAUCCUUUCAUUUCCUGAAAGAAACAUUGCCAUUGUUUUACCUGUUAAAGAGUUGUUAGCAAGUUUGGGUCUUGCGAAUUGAGAAGCAUGCACUUGGUAAACGGAAAUGGCAAACAAGUUGAAGCAAACGUUACUUUAUAUCCUACAAGAGCACCUGUUUGUGCGAAAUGGACAACAGAAAGGUGUGCAGCAUGUCGAUGGGUUGGAGAUUGGGACUUCAACAAAAUUAUUAUUUGUAUUAGGUGUCAAAUUGUUGUUCAUCAAGAAUGCUAAUAUCAGACAUACUUACUGGUUUUUGUAAUGUUAAUAUCACAUUGUUACUUAUAUUAUGUUUUGCAUGUAUUGGCCGGCCUUCUUCAUGAGGUGGUAUUCAACUCCAGUGUAAUCACUUUCUGGGAAAAUUUAUGCAUAAGUGUCUGGUUAGUAAGAUUCA